rnacentral:rRNA from 1 species
GACGAACGCUGGCGGCGUGCUUAACACAUGCAAGUCGAACGGAAAGGCCCUGCUUGCAGGGUACUCGAGUGGCGAACGGGUGAGUAACACGUGGGUGAUCUGCCCUGCACUUCGGGAUAAGCCUGGGAAACUGGGUCUAAUACCGGAUAGGAGCCAUUAUUAGUGUGAUGGUUGGAAAGUUUUUUCGGUGUAGGAUGAGCUCGCGGCCUAUCAGCUUGUUGGUGGGGUAAUGGCCUACCAAGGCGGCGACGGGUAGCCGGCCUGAGAGGGUGGACGGCCACCAUGGGACUGAGAUACGGCCCAGACCCCUAAGGGGGGCAGCAGUGGGGAAUAUUGCACAAUGGGCGCAAGCCUGAUGCAGCGAAGCCGCGGGGGGGAUGACGGCCUUCGGGUUGGAAACCCCUUUCGCUAGGGACGAAGCUUUUUGUGACGGUACCUAGAGAAGAAGCACCGGCUAACUACGUG